rnacentral:rRNA from 1 species
GACGAACGCUGGCGGCGCGCUUAACACAUGCAAGCCGAGCGAGAACCCAGGCUUCGGCCUGGGGGAAAGCGGCGAACGGGUGAGUAACACGUGGGUAAUCUGCCCUCGGCAUCGGGAUAGCCCGGGGAAACCCGGAUUAAUACCGAAUGGCCCAUCUGCUCUUCGGAGCGGCUGGAAAAGGUAGCUUUGGCCUCCGGCCGAGGAGGAGCCCGCGGCGGAUUAGCUUGUUGGUGAGGUAACGGCUCACCAAGGCGACGAUCCGUAGCUGGUCUGAGAGGACGAUAAGCCACACUGGGACUGAGACACGGCCCAGACUCCUACGGGAGGCAGCAGUGGGGAAUCUUGCGCAAUGGGCGAAAGCCUGACGCAGCGACGCCGCGUGCGGGAAGAAGGCCUUCGGGUUGUAAACCGCUUUCAGGAGGGACGAAGCCACUCGGGUUAAUAGCCCAGAGGGUGACGGUACCUCCAGAAGAAGCCCCGGCUAACUACGUGCCAGCCGCCGCCGUAAUAC